rnacentral:rRNA from 1 species
CAGUCGCCGCGGUAAUACGUAGGGUGCAAGCGUUAAUCGGAAUUACUGGGCGUAAAGCGUGCGCAGGCGGUUUGUUAAGACAGAUGUGAAAUCCCCGGGCUCAACCUGGGAACUGCAUUUGUGACUGGCAAGCUAGAGUGUGGCAGAGGGGGGUGGAAUUCCGCGUGUAGCAGUGAAAUGCGUAGAUAUGCGGAGGAACACCGAUGGCGAAGGCAGCCCCCUGGGCCAACACUGACGCUCAUGCACGAAAGCGUGGGGAGCAAACAGGAUUAGAUACCCGGGUAGUCCCUGUCUCUUAUAC